rnacentral:ncRNA from 2 species
CAUUUUGCCAGUCUCCGAGUCGCGCAGCCUACCAGGGAAAAAUCCUCAUGGCCCGCGACCUGCGGGUGUCGCCGGAAACAGCGCCGCCCUCCUUUGAAAAGGGGAACCUGUGCUUGACGG